AGAGUUUGAUCAUGGCUCAGGACGAACGCUGGCGGCGUGCCUAAUACAUGCAAGUCGAGCGAGCUUGCCUAGAUGAUUUUAGUGCUUGCACUAAAUGAAACUAGAUACAAGCGAGCGGCGGACGGGUGAGUAACACGUGGGUAACCUGCCCAAGAGACUGGGAUAACACCUGGAAACAGAUGCUAAUACCGGAUAACAACACUAGACGCAUGUCUAGAGUUUGAAAGAUGGUUCUGCUAUCACUCUUGGAUGGACCUGCGGUGCAUUAGCUAGUUGGUAAGGUAACGGCUUACCAAGGCAAUGAUGCAUAGCCGAGUUGAGAGACUGAUCGGCCACAUUGGGACUGAGACACGGUCCAAACUCCUACGGGAGGCAGCAGUAGGGAAUCUUCCACAAUGGACGAAAGUCUGAUGGAGCAACGCCGCGUGAGUGAAGAAGGGUUUCGGCUCGUAAAGCUCUGUUGGUAGUGAAGAAAGAUAAAGGUAGUAACUGGCCUUUAUUUGACGGUAAUUACUUAGAAAGUCACGGCUAACUACGUGCCAGCAGCCGCGGUAAUACGUAGGUGGCAAGCGUUGUCCGGAUUUAUUGGGCGUAAAGCGAGUGCAGGCGGUUCAAUAAGUCUGAUGUGAAAGCCUUCGGCUCAACCGGAGAAUUGCAUCAGAAACUGUUGAACUUGAGUGCAGAAGAGGAGAGUGGAACUCCAUGUGUAGCGGUGGAAUGCGUAGAUAUAUGGAAGAACACCAGUGGCGAAGGCGGCUCUCUGGUCUGCAACUGACGCUGAGGCUCGAAAGCAUGGGUAGCGAACAGGAUUAGAUACCCUGGUAGUCC
rnacentral:rRNA from 1 species